GACGAACGCUGGCGGCGUGCUUAACACAUGCAAGUCGAACGAUGAAGAGGAGAAACGCGAACUUCGGUUCAAAUUUCACUUCGGAUUAGUGGCAGACGGGUGAGUAACGCGUGAGCAACCUACCUCUUACAAAGGGAUAGCCUCGGGAAACCGUGAUUAAUACCAUAUGACACAUUCAUAAGGCAUCUUAAGAAUGUUAAAGCUACGGCGGUAAGAGAUGGGCUCGCGUCCCAUUAGCUAGUUGGUGAGGUAACGGCCCACCAAGGCGACGAUGGGUAACCGGCCUGAGAGGGGGAACGGGUACAUUGGAAAUGAGACACGGUCCAAACCCCUACGGGAGGCAGCAGUGGGGAAUAUUGCACAAUGGAGGGAAAUCUGAUGCAGCGACGCCGCGUGAGCGAUGAAGGAAUUCGUUUCGUAAAGCUCUGUUCUAUGGGAAGAAAAGGACUGUACCAUAGGAGAAAGCCCCGGCUAAAUACGUG
rnacentral:rRNA from 1 species